rnacentral:rRNA from 1 species
UACGGGGGGGGCAAGCGUUGUUCGGAAUUCCUGGGCGUAAAGGGCUCGUAGGCGGCCAACUAAGUCAGACGUGAAAUCCCUCGGCUUAACCGGGGAACUGCGUCUGAUACUGGAUGGCUUGAGUUUGGGAGAGGGAUGCGGAAUUCCAGGUGUAGCGGUGAAAUGCGUAGAUAUCUGGAGGAACACCGGUGGCGAAGGCGGCGUCCUGGACCAACACUGACACUGAUGAGCGAAAGCCAGGGGAGCAAACGGG